rnacentral:snRNA from 1 species
UGUAAAGAUGAUGACAAAAAAAAAACAAAAUGACAAGCAUAUGUCUGAAAGACAUAAAUUUAAAAAUCAUGGUGAAAUUGAUUGAUUAGUUAUUGAAGUGUUGCCAGUACUUCUUGAUUAAAGAUGGAAAGCUGCGUUUUCAAUAGCAAUGAAGUAAUUUAAUCAUGAUUUUUAUUUUUUUAUAUUGAUGUUAAAGUUUUUUUAUAUUGGUCUGAUUUA